rnacentral:ncRNA from 2 species
AAAAUUCGGGGCGAUGGAGUUCGCCGUAUAACCAUCUCGGUCGCCAGAUCGAGAUUGAUGACUCCUUUUCAAGC